UACGGAGGGUGCAAGCGUUUAUCCGGAUUCACUGGGUUUAAAGGGUGCGUAGGUGGGUCUGGUAAGUCAGUGGUGAAAUCUCCGUGCUUAACAUGGAAACUGCCAUUGAUACUAUAGGUCUUGAAUUUUCUGGAGGUAAGCGGAAUAUGUCAUGUAGCGGUGAAAUGCUUAGAUAUGACAUAGAACACCAAUUGCGAAGGCAGCUUGCUACAGGGAAUAUUGACACUGAGGCACGAAAGCGUGGG
rnacentral:rRNA from 1 species